AGUGCACGCUGGCGGUAGGCCUAACACAUGCAAGUCGAACGGCAGCACAGUAAGAGCUUGCUCUUACGGGUGGCGAGUGGCGGACGGGUGAGGAAUACAUCGGAAUCUACUUUUUCGUGGGGGAUAACGUAGGGAAACUUACGCUAAUACCGCAUACGACCUACGGGUGAAAGCAGGGGAUCUUCGGACCUUGCGCGAUUGAAUGAGCCGAUGUCGGAUUAGCUAGUUGGCGGGGUAAAGGCCCACCAAGGCGACGAUCCGUAGCUGGUCUGAGAGGAUGAUCAGCCACACUGGAACUGAGACACGGUCCAGACUCCUACGGGAGGCAGCAGUGGGGAAUAUUGGACAAUGGGCGCAAGCCUGAUCCAGCCAUACCGCGUGGGUGAAGAAGGCCUUCGGGUUGUAAAGCCCUUCUGUUGGGAAAGAAAAGCAGCAGGUUAAUACCCCGCUGUUCUGACGGUACCCAAAGAAUAAGCACCGGCUAACUUCGUG
rnacentral:rRNA from 1 species